GACGAACGCUGGCGGCGUGCUUAACACAUGCAAGUCGAACGGAAAGGCCCUGCUUUUGUGGGGUGCUCGAGUGGCGAACGGGUGAGUAACACGUGAGUAACCUGCCCUUGACUUUGGGAUAACUUCAGGAAACUGGGGCUAAUACCGGAUAGGAGCUCCUGCUGCAUGGUGGGGGUUGGAAAGUUUCGGCGGUUGGGGAUGGACUCGCGGCUUAUCAGCUUGUUGGUGGGGUAGUGGCUUACCAAGGCUUUGACGGGUAGCCGGCCUGAGAGGGUGACCGGCCACAUUGGGACUGAGAUACGGCCCCGACUCCUACGGGAGGCAGGAGUGGGGAAUAUUGCACAAUGGGCGGAAGCCUGAUGCAGCAACGCCGCGUGCGGGAUGACGGCCUUCGGGUUGUAAACCGCUUUCGCCUGUGACGAAGCGUGAGUGACGGUAAUGGGUAAAGAAGCACCGGCUAACUACGUG
rnacentral:rRNA from 1 species